GAUGAAACUCUCACGAUGAUAUUUUGAUUGUGUCAUGGCCGAGAAUGGCAAGAGCAUUUAUUGCUUUGCUUCUCUCACCCAAUUUCACCGUUUUUAACCCCAAACACGGUAUUAACUCCCUCCCUCUCUCUCUCUCUCUCUCUCUCUCUCUCUCUCUCUCUCUCUUUUCUUUUCCUGCAAGCAUUUUAAUGGUUUUUGUCUCAUUGAGACCCAAAAGUUGCGAUUUCUAUUGGUUUAUAAUGGUUCACAUGGAUUCAAGAGGAAUCCUUGUGAAAUGCUGUUUAUCCCACAUCGAUUUUUGAAAAUUAAGUUGGGAUUUUGGGGUUCUAUAUAAAGAACCCCAUAUUCCACAAGUUCAACAAGUUUUUUCACACCUUACAAGUCCGAAAAUCCGAAAAAUAGCUUAGUAAACCUAGGGAUCUAGCAACUUUUUGCAGGAACCUUUAACUUACUAAGUUGCUCUAGUCUAAAAUUUUAAAAUUCUCUUCUGUUUUAUGGCAGAGUAUCGGGUUGAGAAGGAUAAGGAGCUUCCAAUUUUAUUCUCGACAAGGGUGCGCAAAAGAAAGGUAAAUUUCUUUCCUUUUGUUUAUUUUAAGUAAUUCAUGUGCUUAUUUGGUUUAAUUAUGUGUUAGUUCAGUUGUUAGUAUGUUUAAUAGCAUGAUUGGUAGAUUAGUUUAUUCAUUAAUAGGUUUUCAUAUGCAUGUUUAGCAUGAUCAGUUAGGUUUAAUUGUUGUGUGUUAGCUUAAUGUUUAGUUUAAUUCUGAUAGUAUCAACUAGUCAUUAAGUAUGUUUAGUUUGGUAGUUUAUAUAUGUUUAGUUGUUAAUUCAGAUUAAGUGUGGUUCAAUUAAUCACUUGUAAGCAUAUCAUUCAUUUUAAAGUUAGUAGCAUGAUAAGCAUAACUGCUGGUUUAGAUUAGCUUGAUCAUAUGUAUACCAAGUGUAUAUUUGCCUAGCUUGCCUCCCUUAAUGUCUAGCCUAGGAGUAUCCUGUUUUAAGGUCUCUUAUAUGAUCACAUGUGCUUUAUUUAUGAAGAGCUCUGUUUGUUUGAAUAGUCAUAUUCAGUGUCCAAUAUAAUGGUAUGAGUUGUGAGAAUUUAUUUUUUUGAAAUAGUAAUCCUGCCUUCAUUAGCAUGUCAUGAUACAGUUGUGUUUGUCCUGUUUUACUCAUGUGUUCACCUCAAAAUGUUAACCUAAUAAAACUGAUCAUUUAAAGCUUUAGUAUAAAUCACCCUAUAAGCCUGUUAAUCUCUUUACUAUUGAAUAUAUGUCUAUGUUUAGCAUGAUUACCUUAUUUAGUCUAAUUCUGGAUCUGUCAAUGCCUAUAUUAGCUUUAAUGAUCUUUGUUAUGUGUUAGUAGUGUAGUAUGGCUGUAUUCAGGAUCCAUUUGGGGUUUAUAUGUGCAUCUAUGGAUUUGACUCUAAAAGUUGCUUAUUUGACUUUUAGAAUACUCAAUGUCGCAGUUUAUAAGUGUUCAUAUACUCUUGUUUACCUAAUCCUAUCAUUAGUCUGUUUAGGUUACAUUUAACCCCUUAUUUACUAAAUGCUUAACUGUUUCACCCUCUUAAUGACUUAUGAGAUUUUUUAACUUAACGAAGUUGUUCAAUAUAUUUUCAAACUAGUUGUGAAAGUCCUAAAUGUAAAAGGGAUCUGAAGUAGUGUCUUAAGACUCUAACACGCUUGUUCUAACUUGUCUUCACCUAGUCUAGCAUAGAAACUGCCUUAAGCUGCUGUAUAUUAAGUCUUAAUCCUUUAAUGAACACUCUCUAGUUGUUUUCUCAUGUUGGAUUUGACUUAGUGACCAGUAAUGGUCUAAAGUGUUAAGUGCUCCAAUGUGUUGCUUAAUGUCAUUUUGCAUCUGUUGGGAUAGUCCAUAACUCAUUUGAAAUGAAAGCAUGUCUCUAUGUGUGAAAAUGACCAGCUAUGGCCUUUUGUGUCUAUGUGUUUUUUUCCUGAUAUCAGUCAAUGUAUGCUAGCAUGUAUCCAUAUAUGAUCAAGUCAUCCCAUUUGAUGGAAAUUGAACCUAUCCUCUGUGUAUUUGUUUAAAAAUUCAAAGGCUGGCAUAAACCCUCCUCUGUGAAUUGAAAUAUGGCAUGCUUGGCCCUGUUUUUGCCUUAUGAGACUUUAUAUGCAUAUCUUCAGGUUGAGUUGACCCUGUUGCAUCUAAAAGUGUUUUUUUUUAACCUUUCUUUGUUAUCCUCCCCUUUACCUUCUUCUGUGUUGAUAUUCUUACUGAUAUACCUGAGAUAUACAAGGUAUAUAUGGCUUGUAUACACUCUGGUGUAUAUAAAGGCUAUACCUUGUAUAUCAUUGAGUUUAACUUAUGAAUUUUGUCUUACAUACUCAGUGGUGAGGCUCUAGGGAUAAUCUUCCUGUGUAUUUAUCCUAUUGGGCCUAUCCUAUCUGAUUCUAGCAUUAGGCUUCAUUUCCUUCAUCACUUUGUGUUUUGGGCCUGUUUUCUUAAAUUACUUUGUCGUUUUUUCUUUACGGCUUCAUUCUUGUGUUAUUUUUCUUUGUUAAACACAAUGUAUAUGCCUGGUAUAUGUAUUAUGUAUAUAUACUUAUAUAUGAUGGUGCCUUAUCUUUUAAGUUCUCUGUUAAUUAAUUUGCUAAGCAUAGAUGCCCUCUAACCGCUAUUCCCCUUUUCCCCUCUUUGUUUGCAUAGAACCUUGGCGUGGGCCACUUGGGCCGUCUCUUCUAUUGAACCUGUUCGACCAAAGGCCCGACUCCUUUGUUUAAUCGAGUCCGGAUAAAAAUAAAUGAUAUGAAGGCUCAACCAUAGGUGAAAAUGGCAACUCAUGGGCUUAGGUAGGCCCACCAGCCUAACUCUUCUUCCUUUCGAUUUAUACGUAUAUAUUUAUUUGCUAUUGUAUAAUUGUUGUAUAUGUAAACAACAUUGUAAUGAAUAUUGAAACCCAAAUGCGUUAAGAA